UGAACGCUGGCGGCAUGCCUUACACAUGCAAGUCGAACGGCAGCACGGGUGCUUGCACCUGGUGGCGAGUGGCGAACGGGUGAGUAAUAUAUCGGAACGUGCCCAGUCGUGGGGGAUAACGUAGCGAAAGUUACGCUAAUACCGCAUACGAUCUACGGAUGAAAGCGGGGGAUCGCAAGACCUCGCGCGAUUGGAGCGGCCGAUAUCAGAUUAGGUAGUUGGUGAGGUAAAGGCUCACCAAGCCAACGAUCUGUAGCUGGUCUGAGAGGACGACCAGCCACACUGGGACUGAGACACGGCCCAGACUCCUACGGGAGGCAGCAGUGGGGAAUUUUGGACAAUGGGCGCAAGCCUGAUCCAGCCAUUCCGCGUGCAGGACGAAGGCCUCGGUUGUAACUGCUUUGUACGACGAAAGACCUUGGCUAAUACCCAGGUCCGAUGACGGUACCGUAACGAAUAAGCACCGGCUAACUACGUGCCA
rnacentral:rRNA from 1 species